rnacentral:rRNA from 1 species
GUGAACGCUGGCGGUAGGCCUGACACCUGCAAGUCGAACGGCAGCACAGUAAGAGCUUGCUCUUACGGGUGGCGAGUGGCGGACGGGUGGGGAAUACAUCGGAAUCUACUUUUUCGUGGGGGAUAACGUAGGGAAACUUACGCUAAUACCGCAUACGACCUACGGGUGAAAGCAGGGGAUCUUCGGACCUUGCGCGAUUGAAUGAGCCGAUGUCGGAUUAGCUAGUUGGCGGGGUAAAGGCCCACCAAGGCGACGAUCCGUAGCUGGUCUGAGAGGAUGAUCAGCCACACUGGAACUGAGACACGGUCCAGACUCCUACGGGAGGCAGCAGUGGGGAAUAUUGGACAAUGGGCGCAAGCCUGAUCCAGCCAUACCGCGUGGGUGAAGAAGGCCUUCGGGUUGUAAAGCCCUUUUGUUGGGAAAGAAAAGCAGCAGGUUAAUACCCCGCUGUUCUGACGGUACCCAAAGAAUAAGCACCGGCUAACUUCGUG